rnacentral:rRNA from 1 species
UACGUAGGGGGCAAGCGUUGUCCGGAUUUAUUGGGCGUAAAGAGCUCGUAGGUGGUUCGGUAAGUCGGAUGUGAAAUCUCCAGGCUCAACCUGGAGGGUCAUUCGAUACUGCCGUGACUAGAGGUCGGUAGGGGAGUGUGGAAUUCCUGGUGGAGCGGUGAAAUGCCGCAGAUAUCAGGAGGAACACCCGUAGCGAAGGCGGCACUCUGGGCCGAUACUGACACUGAGGAGCGAAAGCGUGGGAGC